rnacentral:rRNA from 1 species
UACGUAGGUGACCAGCGUUGUCCGGAUUUACUGGGCGUAAAGAGCGCGCAGGCGGUCGUUCAAGUCGAGUGUGAAAGCCCCCGGCUCAACUGGGGAGGGUCACGAUACUGAUCGACUUGAAGGCAGGAGAGGGAAGCGGAAUUCCCGGUGUAGUGGUGAAAUGCGUAGAUAUCGGGAGGAACACCAGUGGCGAAGGCGGCUUCCUGGCCUGUUCUUGACGCUGAGGCACGAAAGCGUGGGGAGCAAACAGG